rnacentral:lncRNA from 1 species
AAAAAAAAAAAAGAGAAAAAAAAAAAAAAAAAAAAUCAACAACAACAACAACAACAAUGAGCGUUUAUAAUUUUUAUCAAAAUCUAAUCCCCAGCCAAUCGAUAAGAACUGCUUUAUGUUGUGAUAUAAAAGGUAAUGGGAAAAAGUAUUUAAUAUACGCAAAUAAUAAUUCAUUAAAUGUUUGUUCUGUUGAUAAGGAUGGCUAUACAGAUGAUCAUAGUAAACAUUUCAUUUUUUCUGAUAUACUAGAGAUAAGAGAAUAUAAACCACGAAAAUUAAUUGAUACAAAUAAAAAUAAAAAUAUUAAAUCUUAUAUAUUUUUAUUAACAAAAGAAUAUAAAUUAUUAUUAUUAGAAUUUAAUACAAAAUUAAAUGAAUUUAUUACAUUAUCUAAAACAAAUUUACGAGAUGUAAUUGGAUUACAUAUAGAUGAAGAAAUAAUUUUUUUAUUAAAUGAAAAAAAUAGUGCAAUUGUAUUUUAUGCAUAUAAAAAUAUAAUGAAAUAUAUUUUAUUAGACUAUGACGAUUAUUUUAAUUUAAAUCAUUUAUAUACAGUUAGGUUGGAAGAUGGUUAUGUUAUAGACAUAAUAUUUUUAAAUUAUUACGAUGAAGAAAAUGAAGAAAAUGAAGAAAAUGGAGAAAAUGAAGAAAAUGAAGAAAAUGGAGAAAAUGGAGAAAAUGGAGAAAAUAAAGGAAAUGGAGAAAAUGGAGAAAAUAAAGAAAAUAAAAAAAAUAAAGAAAAUAAAAAAAAUAAAGAAAAUAAAAAAAAUAAAGAAAAUAAAGAAAAUAAAAAAAAUAAAGAAAAUAAAAAAAAUAAAGAAAAAUAUGGAGCAGAUUAUUGUUUAUGUAAUAACAGUAAUGUUAAUGUUAGUAGUGGAAAUUAUAUGUACAAUGGUCAUAUGUAUUAUCCUAGUAACGAGUUGGAUGUUAAGGAAAGUACAAAAAAACAAAAAAAUAAAAAAUCACAUUCUUUUAUUAAUUCACCAAUGAAUAAUAAUAAUAAUAAAAAUUAUCCUAUUUGUAUUGAUGACAAUAAUAAUGCAAGUUCUAUUGUAAAUAAAAAAAAUAUUAACAAUAAUAACAAUAAUAAUAACAAUAAUAAUAACAAUAAUAAUAAUAUUAUAUAUAACAAUAUAAAUAAUAAAAAAACGUACGAUUUUGAAAAUAUGCAAAUUGAACAAACAUAUAAUGAUGAUAGUACAUCUAUAAAAAACAUGACUAAAAAUAAAUACGAUAAAUUAAUUAAUGUAAGUAGUAAUAGUGUAAGUAGUAAUAAUGUAAGUAGUAAUAAUGUAAGUAGUAAUAGUUAUGUAAACAAAGACAAAAAUUAUAACCAUAUUAAUACGAUAAACAAUAAAAAUACAUUUAAUGAACAUUCAGUUAUACCUAAAGUAUUUGAAACGCACGAGGAUGAUAUUUUUAAUAUGAUGUUGGAUGGAUAUAAAGAUAAUAAUCCGUAUGAGAAAAAGCAAAAUUUAAAAAAAGAAAAGAAAAAAAUAAAAAAAAUAUUUGAAAAAAAACUAAAAGAACAUUGUGAUAGUAUGUAUUUACAUAACAACAAUACUAAUACUUAUCGUAAUAGUUAUAAAAUAAAUUCAGAAGAAAAAUUUAAAAAUAAGAAAUGGAAUGAAAGUAGUGAAAAUUGUUCUAACAUUUCUUUAUGUUUUUAUAAUUUAAAAAAUAUUUUAUUUGAUGAAAAAAAAUAUGUAAAAAAAAUAUAUUAUGAAAAAAAAAAAUAUAUUAUUAACUAAUAGAAGAAAAGUUAAUAUAUGUCCUAGUCCAAUAAAAUUUAAAAAAUUUGAUAAUAUAUUUUCUGA